rnacentral:lncRNA from 8 species
AUGAUUGCCUCGCCUGGUUUACCAACUACUUCGCUGAUAGUUCAGUGUGUCAAAUCGGAGGGCCUGUUGUCCGAACCUCUGGCAGUCUCUAUGGGGGUGCCACAGGGUUCAAUUCUCGGGCCGACUCUCUUCUCUGUAUACAUCGAUGAUGUUGUUCUUGCUGCUGGUGAUUCUCUGAUCCACCUCUACGCAGAUGACACCAAUCUGUAUACUUCUGGCCACUCUCUGGACACUGUGUUAACAAACCUCCAGACGAGCUUCAAUGGCAUACAACUCUCCUUCCGUGGCCUCCAACUGCUCUUAAAUGCAAGUAAAACUAGAUGCAUGCUAUUCAAUCGAUCACUGCCAGCACCUGCCCGCAUCACUACUCUGGAUGGCUCUGACUUAGAAUACGUGGACAACUACAAAUACCUAGGUGUCUGGUUAGACUGUAAACUCUCCUUCCAGACUCACAUUAAGCAUCUCCAAUCCAAAAUUAAAUCUAGAAUCAGCUUCCUAUAUCACAACAAAACAUCCUUCGCUCAUGCUGCCAAACAUACCCUCGUAAAACUGAUCAUCCUACCGAUCCACGACUUUGGCGAUGUCAUCUAUAAAAUAGCCUCCAACACUCUACUCAACAAAUUGGAUGCAGUCUAUCACAGUGCCAUCCGUUUUGUCACCAAAGCCCCAAACACUACCCACCACUGCGACCUGUACACUCUCGUUGGUUGGCCCUCGCUUCAUACUCGUCGCCAAACCCACUGGCUACAGGUUAUCUACAAGUCUCUGCUAGGUAAAGCCCCGCCUUAUCUCAGCUCACUGGUCAGCAUAGCAGCACCCACUCGUAGCACACGCUCCAGCAGGUAUAUCUCACUGGUCACCCCCAAAGCCAAUUCCUCUUUUGGUCGCCUUUCCUUCCAGUUCUCUGCUGCCAAUGACUGGAACGAACUGCAAAAAUCCCUGAAGCUGGAGACUCAUAUCUCACUCACUAGCUUUAAGCACCAGCUGUCAGAGCAGCUCACAGAUCACUGCAUCUGUAAACAGCCCAUCUAUCUACCUCAUCCCCUUACUGUAUUUAUUUAUUUAUCUUGCUCCUUUGCACCCCAAUAUCUCUACUUGCACAUUCAUCUGCUGCACAUCUACCAUUCCAGUGUUUAA